CUGCCGAUGGCCAUCCACUCUCGGACACGACAACAUCCAAAGUGUUACCUCCUCCGAGUCUCUCGAGGGCAGAGUACAAGGAAUCCAACAUUGCAUCAAAAAGAUUCUGAUAACCGCGACCACUGUCCCAUACAAGUACUGAUGGUGAGGUAAACAAAGAAUAGGGCAGGGAGAUGUCUCGCGGGUUACCAGAAUAGCUAAAAUAAGUGUAAAUAUUAGCAAACAAAGGCGUCUUUGCGUAUGAUAGGUGUCCAACAAUUGGGGCCAAGUAUGAAAUUACAUCACCCCUGAAAGCACCUGCUGAGGGAGGAUAGGAAGUUCCUAUCAGGGUCAUGUCAACUGCAAUUGAGACCUUGAUUUGGUCCUGAAGGCCCGCUGCUCUUACAGCAUUAAAUACAUUUACCAAGGCAGGCAAAACAAAUGGGGCCAUCCAGGAUGUGCCGCCAUUGACAGGACUAAUUUCAUUGCCAACAGCUAUGUACCUGAACUUGACACUUGGCCAGAAGUUGAGUACAUUAUUUUUUACCCAUGAA